AGGGGUUUAGGUUAAACAAAGACCAAGAGCCUUCAAAGCCCUAAGUAAGUGAAUCACUUAACCCCUG
rnacentral:tRNA from 1 species